rnacentral:misc_RNA from 1 species
CAGCUAAUUGCGCGUCAAAUUGUGAACUGCAGGACACUUGAACAUCGACACUUCGAACGCACAUUGCGGUCUUCGGAUACUGUUCCUGGACCACUCCUGGCUGAGGGUCGUUUCAAUUUCCACGACUGCCGGGCGUUGUUGUAUGCACCGCUACGUACGGUGCUCGCCGAGGCAAAUAUAUGGCCGUUCGCGGUAAGUCCUAACGUCGUUCGUUUCGUAUAGCCCCGCACUAGUACGGAGGCGGCGGAACGCGUCUGAUGUAGGCUAUAUCGCGUCGGUUUAAAUUACCGCCACUAAAAUAAGGUUCGCGGCGAACAGCGUAUGUUGUGUUAUAUACGCCCGUCGGAACUCGACUGUGGUCGACGUGUCAGAGACAAGACCCCGAGGAUGAUGAARUGCUUUCGCAUAUUCGUUAUCCCGAGUUUUGCGUUGGGGGAACGGGUGUCGUCGCGUUAGUCAGGUAUAAAGUUUUACAGCGAUAACCGUGAGAAGAACGAUGACCACRAAGUCCGUCGUCUUCACACGUUAUUAUGUCGCGUUAACUUUACAUCAUAGACGGACGGACAGAUAACCACGUUUAACCAACCGUCGUCAGACCUAUCGGUUCGACAUUUGCCGCUGGUUUAACAACUUCGCUCGUCGCCCAUCGAAGCGACGGCUUAGUAGUAGAACCGGCGCGCGAAUAACGGGCGUGCCGUUUGUGUGACCAAAGGCGUGUUUGUAAAUUUUAUGAACGAUUUCUUCUUACGACGUAUCUCUUAGGAGGUGUUUAUAACGUACGAGGAAGAAACGCGACCUCAGAGCAGGUGAGACUACCC